rnacentral:rRNA from 1 species
UACGAAGGGUGCAAGCGUUGCUCGGAAUUAUUGGGCGUAAAGGGUUGGUAGGUGGUCUUGUUUGUCUAAGGUGAAAUCCCACGGCUUAACUGUGGAAGUGCCUUAGAAACGGCAAGACUAGAGUCCUAGAGGGGUUUGUGGAAUUCCCGGUGUAGCGGUGAAAUGCGUAGAGAUCGGGAGGAACACCAGCGGCGAAGGCGGCAAACUGGAUAGGCACUGACACUCAACAACGAAAGCGUGGGGAGCAAACAGG